GCACAAGCAGCGGAGCGUGUGGUUAAUUCGAUGAUACACGAAGAACCUUACCCAGGCUUGACAUGCAGGUAUCGGGGUUUCGAAAGUAGGCCCCACCUCGGGAGGCCUGCACAGGUGCUGCAUGGCUGUCGUCAGCUCGUGUCGUGAGAUGUCCGGUUAAGUCCGGUAACGAACGCAACCCUCGCUGUGUGUUAUAUGUGUCACACGGGACUGCCGGUCUUAAGCCGGAGGAAGGUGGGGAUGAUGUCAAGUCAGCAUGGCCUUUAUAUCCUGGGCUACACACACGCUACAAUGGCCAACACAAUAGGUUGCUAAGCCGCGAGGUGGCGCCAAUCCCAAAAAGCCGCUCUCAGUUCGGAUUGCAGGCUGCAACUCGCCUGCAUGAAGCCGGAAUCGCUAGUAAUCGCGGAUCAGCAUGCCCGCGGUCCGAAUACGUUCCGGCCUU
rnacentral:rRNA from 1 species